rnacentral:rRNA from 1 species
CCUACGGGAGGCAGCAGUCGAGAAUCAUUCACAAUGGGGGAAACCCUGAUGGUGCGACGCCGCGUGGGGGAAUGAAGGUCUUCGGAUUGUAAACCCCUGUCAUGUGGGAGCAAAUUAAAAAGAUAGUACCACAAGAGGAAGAGACGGCUAACUCUGUGCCAGCAGCCGCGGUAAUACAGAGGUCUCAAGCGUUGUUCGGAAUCACUGGGCGUAAAGCGUGCGUAGGCUGUUUCGUAAGUCGUGUGUGAAAGGCGCGGGAGAAACCCGCGGACGGCACGUGAAACUGCGAGACUAGAGUAAUGGAGAGGGAACCGGAAGUGUGGGUGGAGCGGUGAAAUGCGUAGAUAU